rnacentral:rRNA from 1 species
GACGAACGCUGGCGGCGUGCCUAAUACAUGCAAGUUGAGCGCUGAAGGUUGGUACUUGUACCAACUGGAUGAGCAGCGAACGGGUGAGUAACGCGUGGGGAAUCUGCCUUUGAGCGGGGGACAACAUUUGGAAACGAAUGCUAAUACCGCAUAAAAACUUUAAACACAAGUUUUAAGUUUGAAAGAUGCAAUUGCAUCACUCAAAGAUGAUCCCGCGUUGUAUUAGCUAGUUGGUGAGGUAAAGGCUCACCAAGGCGAUGAUACAUAGCCGACCUGAGAGGGUGAUCGGCCACAUUGGGACUGAGACACGGCCAAAACUCCUACGGGAGGCAGCAGUAGGGAAUCUUCGGCAAUGGACGAAAGUCUGACCGAGCAACGCCGCGUGAGUGAAGAAGGUUUUCGGAUCGUAAAACUCUGUUGGUAGAGAAGAACGUUGGUGAGAGUGGAAAGCUCAUAAAGUGACGGUAACUACACAGAAAGGGACGGCUAACUACGUG